rnacentral:rRNA from 1 species
UAGAGUUUGAUUCUGGCUCAGGACGAUCGCUGGCGGCGUGCCUAACACAUGCAAGUCGAGCGAAGCACUUUGCUUUGAUUCUUUCGGGAGGAAAAGUAAUUUGACUGAGCGGCGGACGGGUGAGUAACGCGUGGGUAACCUGCCUCAUACAGGGGGAUAACAGUUAGAAAUGACUGCUAAUACCGCAUAAGACCACAGUACUGCAUGGUACAGUGGUAAAAACUCCGGUGGUAUGAGAUGGACCCGCGUCUGAUUAGCUAGUUGGUAGGGUAACGGCCCACCAAGGCGACGAUCAGUAGCCGGCCUGAGAGGGUGAACGGCCACAUUGGGACUGAGACACGGCCCAAACUCCUACGGGAGGCAGCAGUGGGGGAUAUUGCACAAUGGGGGAAACCCUGAUGCAGCGACGCCGCGUGAGCGAUGAAGUAUUUCGGUAUGUAAAGCUCUAUCAGCAGGGAAGAAAAUGACGGUACCUGACUAAGAAGCCCCGGCUAACUACGUGCCAGCAGCCGCGGUAAUACGUAGGGGGCAAGCGUUAUCCGGAUUUACUGGGUGUAAAGGGAGCGUAGACGGCAGUGCAAGUCUGAAGUGAAAGGCAAGGGCUCAACCCUUGGACUGCUUUGGAAACUGUGCUGCUGGAGUGUCGGAGAGGCAAGUGGAAUUCCUAGUGUAGCGGUGAAAUGCGUAGAUAUUAGGA